GAAGGCGAUCUAGUGUUUCAUUGGGUAAACUGGUGGAUCGGGGCGGAGCGGGACCAAGUUGGGAAUAUUUACAGGACUCGGUACCCGUCUUUGGGAGUUGCAGUUAAGAAAUUGCAUGAAUCUCAGAAGAGACUUUGAACUUUGAAGAAUUGUUGAGACUGUGAUAAGACUAUGGGGACUUUUGAAGUUGGACUAAGUUUAUGUUUUCAUUAUAACAUGGCUAGGUAUUGGUGUUCCAGACUACUUUUAACCCAUGAAGAUAAUGUAGUCCUUCAUCCACUUGAUUAUAUUACAUAUUGUUUGUGGCUCGAUCAAAGUAAUUACCUUUACCUGGACUGCCAACCAACACUUGGCUCCUGAUACUUUUCUGUGUCCUAAGGUAAGUUUGGAGGAGACAGUUGCAUGGAUACUACUCUGGGUGAAAAACCAGAAAACAGGUUGGUCUGCCAGAGAGUGAAACAUCUGUGGGACAAUGCCAGUGUGGCUACCUUCCCCAUGUGGUAUGGGGUAUAGCGUCUUCUUGCUGUAGUGACAGUUGUAUGCUUACUCUAACAGGUUAUAAGAAUUGCAGCCAAUGCCAAACCAACAGAGGAUAGAGUGUGAUUAGAUGGAAUUUCAGGUGUCCAUCCUCUGCUAUGUAUUAGUCGGUGUGUGCCUCUUUGAUGAA
ensembl:processed_transcript Gm13483 predicted gene 13483